GAACAAAAAAUAUUUGUCUAUGUCAUUAUGCAUAACAUUGAAUCAAUUGAUAGUUCUAGACAUGAAACGAAUAAUGGCUAACGAAUCCACAUGACCAUUGGUUUUCCUAAAAAUAUAGGUGACCAAAAAAUUCAUAUCAAGAGUGGAAGCAACAUAAUCCAACCAUCUAGAUCUAAUCUUCCAAGACACGAUGUUAAUAUUUGAAAAAACAUUGAUCACACAAGUUGAAUCAGUUUCAAUUUAAAGGUUGUUCCACUUAUGCUCUCUAGCAUACUCAAUAACAAACAUAUCUUACAUGAGUUCUGAAACAAAACACUAUCCUCAUCAAAAAAAAUAGCAAAGCUACCCAAGUGAUUAGUAAACUCAUUCCUGAAAAUACCCCAUAACAGCAAAUAGACGGAACACCUAAAGCAAAACCGUCAGUGUUGCAUUUUAUUCAACCUCUACUCGGAGGCUGCCAAAGGAUGUUGAUAGCCUUCUUGGUCUUGGGAGGAUGAAUAGAGACAUGAAGCUUUUUAAGAAUACAAAAAUUCUCCAUGGCUGAAUUGGAAGGUUUGCUGGUAUGAUUUCCAGCAAAAGUAGCUGCCACAGUAAUAGAGGAAACCCAUGAGUUCCAAAUAACCUUCCUACCCUUAAAUCUAUCAAGGUUUCUAGCUUUCCAAAUCUCAGAGAAAAGACACACAAUGGAUGCUUUGAAGGUCACAACAAGCUGAGUAGACUAGUUGGGUUUCAUGGCCAAUAUGCAGUCAUUGAAACAACCCAAAUAUGCAGUCAUUGAUAAUUUUAUUCUUUUAUCCAAUUUUAAAGAUGAACAAGAUUCUUUGCCUCACACUUCUCCAUCUGUUCAACAAUUAGGUAAGGACAAAUGUCAACCAAAAACUCGUCCGUGUGGAUUCAGUGGUUGUUAUCAGUAUCAACAACAUCGUUAUCAAUCAGUAAGUUUUUUUUUUUAAUUUUAAAUAUAAGUAUUUUAUAAUAUUAAUGUAUUAAUUUUUAAAUGAUUAUUAAUUGUGUUACUAUUAUUAUUAUUAUCAUUAUUUUAAUCAAACUAAU
rnacentral:lncRNA from 1 species